rnacentral:tRNA from 1 species
UAGCUCAGUUGGUUAGAGCAUGGUGCUAAUAACGCCAAGGUCACAGGUUCAAUCCCUCU